rnacentral:sRNA from 1 species
AUGUAGCGCAUGUCGUGCGGGUGAGAAGCUGCGUUCAGGUUCGAGCCGAGCGAAGCGAGACAGCAACGCGUCAGCGUUGACCCGAAGGGUGAGGCCGGAGGCCGAGUCAUCCCGCACGACCCACCA